UACAGAGGUCUCAAGCGUUGUUCGGAUUCAUUGGGCGUAAAGGGUGCGUAGGCGGCGCGGUAAGUCGGGUGUGAAAUCUUGGAGCUUAACUCCGAAACUGCAUUCGAUACUGCCGUGCUUGAGGACUGGAGAGGAGACUGGAAUUUACGGUGUAGCGGUGAAAUGCGUAGAUAUCGAGAGGAACACCAGUGGCGAAGGCGAGUCCCUGGACAACUCCUGACACUGAGGCACGAAAGCUAGGGGAGCAAACAGG
rnacentral:rRNA from 1 species